AGUGCGAUAGCUGGGUCAAAUGGUGAUUCCAUUCCAAGUUUUCCAAGGAAUCUUCAUACUGCUUUCCAUAUUGGUUGCACCAAUUUGCAGUCCCACCAGCAUU
rnacentral:pre_miRNA from 1 species